CCUACGGGGGGCUGCAGUGGGGAAUCUUGCACAAUGGGGGAAACCCUGAUGCAGCGACGCCGCGUGAGUGAUGACGUCCUUCGGGAUGUAAAGCUCUUUCGACAGGAACGAUAAUGACGGUACCUGGAGAAGAAGCUGCGGCUAACUACGUGCCAGCAGCCGCGGUAAUACGUAGGCAGCAAGCGUUGUUCGGAAUUAUUGGGCGUAAAGAGUAUGUAGGCGGUUCGCUAAGUCUGAUGUGAAAUCUCCCGGCUUAACUGGGAGGGUGCGUCGGA
rnacentral:rRNA from 1 species